rnacentral:rRNA from 1 species
CGAACGGGUGAGUAAUGCGUGACCAACCUGCCCCAUGCUCCAGAAUAGCUCUUGGAAACGGGUGGUAAUGCUGGAUGCUCCAACUUGACGCAUGUCUUGUUGGGAAAGUGUUUAGUGGCAUGGGAUGGGGUCGCGUCCUAUCAGCUUGUAGGCGGGGUAAUGGCCCACCUAGGCUUCGACGGGUAGCCGGCCUGAGAGGGCGGACGGCCACAUUGGGACUGAGAUACGGCCCAGACUCCUACGGGAGGCAGCGCG